rnacentral:rRNA from 1 species
AUUGAACGCUGGCGGCAUGCUUUACACAUGCAAGUCGAACGGUAACAGGCCGCAAGGUGCUGACGAGUGGCGAACGGGUGAGUAAUGCAUCGGAACGUGCCCAGUCGUGGGGGAUAACGCAGCGAAAGCUGCGCUAAUACCGCAUACGAUCUAUGGAUGAAGGCGGGGGACCGUAAGGCCUCGCGCGAUUGGAGCGGCCGAUGUCAGAUUAGGUAGUUGGUGGGGUAAAGGCUCACCAAGCCAACGAUCUGUAGCUGGUCUGAGAGGACGACCAGCCACACUGGGACUGAGACACGGCCCAGACUCCUACGGGAGGCAGCAGUGGGGAAUUUUGGACAAUGGGCGCAAGCCUGAUCCAGCAAUGCCGCGUGCAGGAAGAAGGCCUUCGGGUUGUAAACUGCUUUUGUACAGAACGAAAAGGUUUCUACUAAUACUAGGAGCUCAUGACGGUACUGUAAGAAUAAGCACCGGCUAACUACGUGCCAGCCGCCGCCGUAA